rnacentral:rRNA from 1 species
UACGGGGGGGGCAAGCGUUGUUCGGAAUUACUGGGCGUAAAGGGCGCGUAGGCGGCCAUCUAAGUCAGACGUGAAAUCCCUCGGCUCAACCGAGGAACUGCGUCUGAUACUGGAAGGCUUGAAUCCGGGAGAGGGAUGUGGAAUUCCAGGUGUAGCGGUGAAAUGCGUAGAUAUCUGGAGGAACACCGGUGGCGAAGGCGGCCUGCUGGGCAGUGGCUGACACUGAGGCGCGACAGCGUGGGGAGCAAACAGG